rnacentral:rRNA from 1 species
UACGUAGGGGGCUAGCGUUGUCCGGAUUUAUUGGGCGUAAAGGGUGCGUAGGUGGUUGGGCAAGUCUGAUGUGAAAUCUCCGGGCUUAACCCGGAAAUGGCAUUGGAAACUGCCCGGCUAGAGUGUUGGAGGGGGGACUGGAAUUCUCGGUGUAGCAGUGAAAUGCGUAGAUAUCGAGAGGAACACCAGUGGCGAAGGCGAGUCCCUGGACAACUACUGACACUGAGGCACGAAAGCUAGGGGAGCAAACAGG